ACUUAUUGUACUAACGUACAAUUGAUGCUCAGCUAAAUAACUGGAGAUGUUAUAUUUAUUUGUAUUGGUACAUUCGUGCCGCAAGAUGUUUCUAUUAUGAAGUACCGGUAUGUGGGCUAUGCCACCCCUCCCCUCCCCUCCCAGACGCCAGGCCUGGUUGUCAGGCGCUGUAUAAUAGUGCGCGUGCUUUGGUUGUAGGCAAACGUGCUCAGAAAUGGUGCAGAACAGAACGCCAAUGAAAUGUUUUCCUCAAAAGCAGAUCUUGGAGAAGAUCAUCAAAAAUUGUGAUAUCGCAUAAGCACUAGUAUAAAACAACUGUUAUCAUUUCUGAAAACAAACACAAUGGAGAACAAAACUAUGGCAUGCAUAUCGCAGCCCUGCUCGAGGAUUAUUAAUAUUUUGGAUUUGUACGACGAGAUGGUCUAAUCGGCAUUUCCAGUUACAACUCUCGAGACAGUUCUGCAUUGAAUAAAGUAACGUUAAAGGUAAGUCAUGUCUUCUGUGUAAUUCUGGCCCGCCGCGGUCACUGUUGGUAGCGCUAGGUGGAGCACUAUGCUAGCGUUGGUUUGGCGGUCAGAAGAAAUAACGGUGCUGUGUUAAUAGAUUUUCACGACACUUAUCAAUGGGUACAGACAUGUAUUUUGAGCUAGCUAUCAUAGACUGUCAUAGACUCAUCAAUAGACUGGACUCGGAGGUUUUGCUAACUUUAUAACAUAGAAGACAACAAAAAUCAAUUUCAGUGACUGCAGCACUGCGUCGGUUACUACACUAACCAUCAAGUUAAAAAUCAGCCUAGUAUUUGAUUUGGUACAAUUCAUUCAUAUCGAACAUUGCAGCACUGCGUCGGUUACUACACUAACCAUCAAGUUAAAAAUCAGCCUAGUAUUUGAUUUGGUACAAUUCAUUCAUAUCGAACAUUAAGCAAGCUUACCUGUACGCUUGUGCCAAGGGUCCAGAAAUGAGCUGUGUCCGGUGCAGUACGUUGGGUAUACCACCCGUUGAUCUCCCGGUCAACCAAAAAUCGAUGGAUUUUCAAUCAUAUUUCCCGGUCAACUUUAUUUCGAUGGAUUUUCAAUCAUAUUUCCCGGUCAACUAUAUUUCGAUGCAUUUUCAAUCAUAUUUCCCGGUCAACUAUAUUUCGAUGCAUUUUCAAUCAUAUUUCCCGGUCAACUAUAUUUCGAUGCAUUUUCAAUCAUAUUUCCCGGUCAACUAUAUUUCGAUGACUUUUCAACAACCGUGUCGUUUUCUCUGUCCACUAUAAAUCAAUGACUUUUCAACACAUUCAGGGAUCACCCUGUAACCAAAUAUCAAUGCUUAAUCAAUCAUAAAGAUAACUAUAGAUCAAUGUUGUUCCAAUAUUGUUGCCAUCAACAUUAAUAACAUCAGGUUUUCAUCGAUAUGGUAAUGGUGAUUCAACAUUUAUUUUGCAUUGAAAUUUCAAUAUCAACCAUAAUGAUGAUUCAGAUGGAAAAACAAUGUUUAUUCAAUGUUGGCUUGCUGUCUGGGCUCUCUUUUGUUAUGUUUUAUUACCAAAAUGCUCUUAUUUUCUUUUGUAAGAGAAAAGGUAGCCUACUAUCUUUUGUUUUUCAGCAACAGUGGCGCAUGUCUGUUUGCGCUUUAGCCAUGUGCUACUUCUAAAAUGCACAAACAAGAUCCAGAUGGCCUCUAAAUGCCUCCCUCAACAUUAGGCCAAUAUUACAGCUGCCUACUUACAGUGAGGCCCACAUGUGAUACUACAUGUCACUCCCACAAGUCUUCAAAUAGGUAACUGAAAUCAUGAAAGUCAUAAUCAUAUAAUAACUCCUCAAAGAAACACAUCUGAUCACUGGCUGUGUUGCCGGUUUAAGGAAGGUAUAGCAUGACAGCUCUCAAAUGGAUAGAAUGGGUUAAAUUAAUGGCCAAGUGUUUAGUAAAUUAGAUAUUUUAGACAUUAAUCUUAAAAAAAAAAUACACUCUUGCUCUUGAUCAUACAUAUAAUUUUCU
rnacentral:lncRNA from 1 species